GGCGAACGCUGGCGGCGUGCCUAAUACAUGCAAGUUGAGCGAUGAAGAUUGGUGCUUGCCCCAAUUUGAAGAGCAGCGAGCGGGUGAGUAACGCGUGGGGAAUCUGCCUUUGAGCGGGGGACAACAUUUGGAAACGAAUGCUAAUACCGCAUAACAACUUUAAACAUAAGUUUUAAGUUUGAAAGAUGCAAUUGCAUCACUCAAAGAUGAUCCCGCGUUGUAUUAGCUAGUUGGUGAGGUAAAGGCUCACCAAGGCGAUGAUACAUAGCCGACCUGAGAGGGUGAUCGGCCACAUUGGGACUGAGACACGGCCCAAACUCCUACGGGAGGCAGCAGUAGGGAAUCUUCGGCAAUGGACGAAAGUCUGACCGAGCAACGCCGCGUGAGUGAAGAAGGUUUUCGGAUCGUAAAACUCUGUUGGUAGAGAAGAACGUUGGUGAGAGUGGAAAGCUCAUCAAGUGACGGUAACUACCCAGAAAGGGACGGCUAACUACGUG
rnacentral:rRNA from 1 species